UACGGAGGGGGCUAGCGUUGUUCGGAAUUACUGGGCGUAAAGCGCACGUAGGCGGCUUUGUAAGUUAGAGGUGAAAGCCUGGAGCUCAACUCCAGAACUGCCUUUAAGACUGCAUCGCUUGAAUCCAGGAGAGGUGAGUGGAAUUCCGAGUGUAGAGGUGAAAUUCGUAGAUAUUCGCAAGAACACCAGUGGCGAAGGCGGCUCACUGGCCCGAUACUGACGCUGAGGCACGAAAGCGUGGGGAGCAAACAGG
rnacentral:rRNA from 1 species